ACUCCUACGGGAGGCAGCAGUAGGGAAUCUUCCACAAUGGGCGAAAGCCUGAUGGAGCAACGCCGCGUGGGUGAAGAAGGUCUUCGGAUCGUAAAACCCUGUUGUUAGAGAAGAAAGUGCGUGAGAGUAACUGUUCACGUUUCGACGGUAUCUAACCAGAAAGCCACGGCUAACUACGUGCCAGCAGCCGCGGUAAUACGUAGGUGGCAAGCGUUAUCCGGAUUUAUUGGGGCGUAAAGGGAACGCAGGCGGUCUUUUAAGUCUGAUGUGAAAGCCUUCGGCUUAACCGGAGUAGUGCAUUGGAAACUGGGAGACUUGAGUGCAGAAGAGGAGAGUGGAACUCCAUGUGUAGCGGUGAAAUGCGUAGAUAUAUGGAAGAACACCAGUGGCGAAAGCGGCUCUCUGGUCUGUAACUGACGC
rnacentral:rRNA from 1 species